rnacentral:lncRNA from 10 species
GUGAAGACUUUUAAAAUAGAGACCAACGUGGCCGGGCAGGAAGAGCAGGGUCCCGCCUUCAGGUGUUUGGGACUCAGCUGAGGGUGUGGGUGCCCCGCGGUGGGGGCUGAACCUUCCUGGGGUGUGGAGAGACGAAAGGAGCCCAGAUCCAAGUUCCCUCGUUCCCGCUUUGGCAUAAGUUGCCCUGGCGGUCUCAUGAGAGAGAGAAAGAGCUGGGACCCUCCUCGCCCCAUGUAACAUCAGACAAGGGUGUUGACUCUGCAGCACAGAACCAGUAGUUUGUGGAGAAGAAUGGAGGUGUGGUGUUGAAUCUGCUAGACAGGCUACUGAAGCAAAAGUCAAGAGAUCCAGAUUCCAUCAUGGGGACACUUUAGUUCUUCAUCGGGUAAUUGAGCUGAUAUCAGGUGUCUGAAGGAGGCAAGUUUUGAAGAUGUGGGUCAUGAUGGCUGCUGAAGCUUCCACUCCAUAUUUGAAGGUCAGCAGUUCUCAGGAAACCUCUAGCACUUCCAUCCCUGGUGGGAUGUGAUGCCUGUCUCAGUGUAACAUCAGAGAAGGGGUGUACUCUGUGCCCUAGAACUAGGAGCUAACAGAGAAAAACCAAAUGUGAUGUGGAGUCUGCUAGACAGGCUACUGGAGCAAGAGUGAAGCGAUGAAAGUCUCAUCAUUGGGACAUAUUAGGGAGGCAGCAGGUGGCUGAAAUCCUGGUGUGAUGUGGCUGGAUCAUGCAUGAUCUGAGGACUCCUGCACAGAUGCAGUGGAUCCCCAGGUUGCAAGUCAUAUAACCUGAGCAUGCCCAGAUGAACCAAGUAUGCCUGAUUGGUGAACCUGGAACUGGCCAGAACAGAAAAUGUCAACCACAUGUGGAAUCUAAGUAUUCAGAUUGAGAAAUGAGGACCAAAAUGAGAACACUGAGCUCCUCACACAGGUGACUGAACCCGUGGUUUUGGUGUCUGAGAAGAUGCAGCUUCUCCAGUCUCUGCAACUGACGGCAGGAAGAUGGGAGCACUCAGCUUCAGUGUUCAGAAGCAGAUUUAGGCCAAUUGCCAUACCUUACGUUCUGGAGGGAUCCACCCUGACCUGAGCAGAAGGCAUCACACACAUUCCCAAGCAGCAUGGUUCCCGUGAGAAACUGAAAACUAAUUUCUUGAAUCUACAAUGCGA